GACGAACGCUGGCGGCGUGCCUAACACAUGCAAGUCGAGCGAGUGAAUCUCCUUCGGGAGUGAAACUAGCGGCGGACGGGUGAGUAACACGUGGGCAACCUGCCUCAUAGAGGGGAAUAGCCUUUCGAAAGGAAGAUUAAUACCGCAUAAGAUUGUAGCUUCGCAUGAAGUAGCAAUUAAAGGAGCAAUCCGCUAUGAGAUGGGCCCGCGGCGCAUUAGCUAGUUGGUGAGGUAACGGCUCACCAAGGCGACGAUGCGUAGCCGACCUGAGAGGGUGAUCGGCCACAUUGGGACUGAGACACGGCCCAGACUCCUACGGGAGGCAGCAGUGGGGAAUAUUGCACAAUGGGGGAAACCCUGAUGCAGCAACGCCGCGUAAGUGAUGACGGCCUUCGGGUUGUAAAGCUCUGUCUUCAGGGACGAUAAUGACGGUACCUGAGGAGGAAGCCACGGCUAACUACGUGCCAGCCGCCGCCGUAA
rnacentral:rRNA from 1 species